rnacentral:rRNA from 1 species
GUCUACGGCCAUACCACCCUGAACGAGCCCGAUCUCGUCUGAUCUCAGAAGCUGAGCAGGGUCAGGCCUGGUUAGUACUUGGAUGGGAGAAUCAGGGCAUGGGGUUU